AUGGAUGACCCCUACGGUGGUCACCACCCUAUAGUUUCAUAUAGCAUGGAUGACCCCUACGGUGGUCACCGCCCUAUCGUUUCAUAUAGCAUGGAUGACCCCUACGGUGGUCACCGCCCUAUCGUUUCAUAUAGCAUGGAUGACCCCUACGGUGGUCACCGCCCUAUCGUUUCAUAUAGCAUGGAUGACCCCUACGGUGGUCACCACCCUGUCGUUUCAUAUAGCAUGGAUGACCCCUACGGUGGUCACCACCCUAUCGUUUCAUAUAGCAUGGAUGACCCCUACGGUGGUCGCCGCCCUAUCGUUUCAUAUAGCAUGGAUGACCCCUACGGUGGUCACCGCCCUAUCGUUUCAUAUAGCAUGGAUGACCCCUACGGUGGUCACCGCCCUAUCGUUUCAUAUAGCAUGGAUGACCCCUACGGUGGUCACCGCCCUAUCGUUUCAUAUAGCAUGGAUGACCCCUACGGUGGUCACCGCCCUAUCGUUUCAUAUAGCAUGGAUGACCCCUACGGUGGUCACCGCCCUAUCGUUUCAUAUAGCAUGGAUGACCCCUACGGUGGUCACCGCCCUAUCGUCUCAUAUAGCAUGGAUGACCCCUACGGUGGUCACCGCCCUAUCGUCUCAUAUAGCAUGGAUGACCCCUACGGUGGUCACCGCCCUAUCGUUUCAUAUAGCAUGGAUGACCCCUACGGUGGUCACCGCCCUAUCGUUUCAUAUAGCAUGGAUGACCCCUACGGUGGUCACCGCCCUAUCGUUUCAUAUAGCAUGGAUGACCCCUACGGUGGUCACCGCCCUAUCGUUUCAUAUAGCAUGGAUGACCCCUACGGUGGUCACCGCCCUGUCGUUUCAUAUAGCAUGGAUGACCCCUACGGUGGUCACCGCCCUAUCGUUUCAUAUAGCAUGGAUGACCCCUACGGUGGUCACCACCCUAUCGUUUCAUAUAGCAUGGAUGACCCCUACGGUGGUCACCGCCCUAUCGUUUCAUAUAGCAUGGAUGACUGA
rnacentral:lncRNA from 8 species